rnacentral:lncRNA from 1 species
ACACUGUGAAACGGUUGUUGUUUUACACCGUAGAUAACCAGGCAGGCAGAAUUCAUCUCCGAGGAACUGGUUCUUUUUCCUUGAAAGCUGAUUCAUGGCCCUUUGGUUAUGGCAGGAAGGGUCCCAGUUCAUCUGCAGAGAUGAGCUGCUCUGCACAGAGGAGCGAUAGGAAUUCAGGAGUUGUCUUCUUGUAGCUAAAUGAUGAGUUGUAGGGGUAAGAUUGGAACUGGGAGAAGAGAGGAUACAGGAGAAAAGCUUGAGUAAAAAGAAGGUGAAAUGGUAGAAAGCUGGACUCUAAGAAGGAAAGUAACUGGUGAGAAAUUCUGACGGAUGGCCAAGGAACUCGAGGAAUGGAGAUGUCUAAUGUUCUAUUUUAAGUUGGUUCCUGCUCCUUGGUGCUGCUCUAUUACCUCGAAACUUUCAGAAAAAGUCUGGUCACUAAAUGCCAUUUCUGGCAUCCCUGAACUUGUGAAUGACCAAUGAUCAUAUGAUCAUGUGAGUUACUAUCAUCUCUAACCUGUGUACAACUGCCACAGCAUGAAUUAGUGAAAGGAUACAGAGUAAAGUCAGCAAAGAAGAAAGGCUUUGGAGCAAAGCCAGGAGAAACCACAGGCUUCCAAGUGAACCCUCCCGGUGGAGUUGCAUGAGGACUCACUUCAUUCUCCCAGCAACAGUGUGUGACAACCCAUGGUGGUGUUGCCAAUUGGAAAAGCUCACCCAAGCCUUGUUGUCCAAAGCUCUUAAUGAGGAGUCAGUCAUGGAGACAUACAAAGCCUGUGUAACUGGCCUCGCUGCCCCAAUAACUCCCUCUCCCCCACCCCCAGAGCCAAACUAAGAGUUCAUCUUAAGUCAUUUUAUUAGGAUAAACUUAUUGGGUCAAACUGAUAUAGCCUCUCCCAAGGCCCCAGGGAUACAAAAACAUUCAUCAGUCAGAAUAUUCCAAGGGCCCCCAAAACUCAAGCACCUGCACCUCUUCUCCAAGGACUGCCUUCACACAGCUGGAACCACUUUGCUCACCUUUAAAAAGAGCCAUAGGUACCUAGGAUCUGCCUCCAUGCUGGGAUGGCCCUUGCCUAAGCCUGACAGGUGCAGGAGUGAAAGAGCGAAGCAACCUUGCCUUGUGUGUAGACAACGUUGAGGUGUAGCUUGUAUUCCAGGGUUUCCCUGUAGGAUAGUGUUAACUCUGACCUCUAUGAGACUUUGCCUGAAAUCACUCUCUUGCUUGACUUCCUUUUUUUUUCUUGUCCUCCUACACCCACUCUUUUACUGGUCUCCCUAGCAGCAUUCAGUGAUGUGCUGACACUGGCUAGUUCCAAAAGCUGAUUGUUAGCAACUCUUCCCAACUCCAUAUUCAGAGAUAUCCUGUUGGUAGCUUUAAACUGGUCAUGGUGGAAGUACUCACUAUAGAGUAUUUGUGGAAAUUGUUGAAUGCUUGAUUUAUUUAUCAAGCUUAUUUAUUUUCUUUCCAUAAAGCCAGUUGUUACUCAUUUACUAUCACACCACUGAGCACUUCCUUAAUAAAUCACUUGAA